GACGAACGCUGGCGGCGUGCUUAACACAUGCAAGUCGAACGGAAAGGCCCUGCUUUUGUGGGGUGCUCGAGUGGCGAACGGGUGAGUAACACGUGAGUAACCUGCCCUUGACUUUGGGAUAACUUCAGGAAACUGGGGCUAAUACCGGAUAGGAGCUCCUGCUGCACGGUGGGGGUUGGAAAGUUUCGGCGGUUGGGGAUGGACUCGCGGCUUAUCAGCUUGUUGGUGGGGUAGUGGCUUACCAAGGCUUUGACGGGUAGCCGGCCUGAGAGGGUGACCGGCCACAUUGGGACUGAGAUACGGCCCAGACUCCUACGGGAGGCAGCAGUGGGGAAUAUUGCACAAUGGGCGGAAGCCUGAUGCAGCAACGCCGCGUGCGGGAUGAAGGCCUUCGGGUUGUAAACCGCUUUCGCCUGUGACGAAGCGUGAGUGACGGUAAUGGGUAAAGAAGCACCGGCUAACUACGUG
rnacentral:rRNA from 1 species